UUUAAUUCUAUACAUUACAGAUGAUCUAGGAGAAGCGUGGGCGCAGGGGGUGGCGGCGAGAGGCGGGAGGGUUGUUCGUGUCACCUACCCAAGAACUGCAAACAAUGAUAAGGAGCUUACUGUGGUCCGUGGGGAAUAUCUUGAGGUGCUAGACGAUUCUCGCAAGUGGUGGAAGGCCAGGAACAGGCGAGGUGUCACUGCGCACGUGCCGCAUACGAUUGUGGCGCCGGCUAUCACCCCGCCCUCCUCACCGCACCUCUACCCGAACCCUAUUUAUACGCAUUAUCAGGAAGGCGGCGGACGAGGCUCCGGCGGCAGCAGCCCCACGGCCCCCGCGGGUAGGAACGCGGCCGGCGCUAGCGCCGAUUGGGUUCGCAAUGAAAGAAUCGGAAAAAAGGGCGAGUUCCGAUACUUUUAAACGCUGCAUUCGAACAAAACACGUUCACGCUUAGUCAUAAUUUAUUUAUUAUAAUACAUAUCUACGUAUUAAUUAUACGUACCUAUGCGUGUGACAAAUGUAGGUUGCAUUUAAUAUUUUGUAACACAUUUAUUAGAGUACACAGCUGUAAAUGGUACCUAACGUUGAGCCAGUUUGGUGUCUAUGAUUUGAAUAUCUACGCAAUGCAGUGGAGAGUAUCGGAAGUCGCUUAUUGGUGUUGUGGCGUCAGGGUCGAUAGUUUCUUAGACUCUAAUGUAUUGUUAAGACGUGUACGUGUUUCGUCCAAUUGAUUGGCAAUAACCUUGAGAGGACCUUCGGUGUGUGUUGCUGUAAACCAGUGUAAACUUGUGUGCGCUUGGUAAAUGUUCUAUUUUCUACAUGAAUACGUAAGUUAUCGUUCAUUAUUGAAUCCCGUGUCUAUUUGAUGAACUAAAUAGGUAAAAUUCAGUUUUAUUUAUACAGAGUCUAUUUUUAUAUAAAUAUACUAUUUAUUACAAACUCUGGGUUAAACAGAGGGACAGUUACACUUUGUAAGUUUGUUUAUCGAUAGGCGCGCUCGUGCUAAAUUUUUAUGCUUAAUAGAUAUUGAAUUGAAUUGUUCUAUCAUUUGGCAGCUAUUUCUUUAACGAAUUUGUACAUAAGACUAACCAAAUUUCCACAAAUCAAAUUAUUAAAAUAUAUCAUGAGACCUCGCGGCGCGCUUAUACAAUUUACUGUAAUAAUGAGUUUUAACAUUUAUAAUUAAACUCAGUACUACCAAA